UGCGGCAUGACGUAAUAUCGAGAAACGACGUUUAAAGUUGCGCCAAGUUUACGCGCGCAGCUUUUUUACACAUGUUUUAAUUAGCAAAAGUUUGACCGUUAAAGUACGACUGCUUGUUACAUGAUUGAUGACAGCCUACUACAGAAAGAAUAUUUAGACAUCAGACCUGUAAAAAAAUAGUGGUAUUACACCUGAGGCAAAAUAUUUCGUUGAAAAUCAGUUGUUUCCCCUUCGCUAUGUUUCCGGUUUCGGAUUUUAACAGUAAAACAGGGAAGCAUGUGAAGUUUACUUUUGUUUAACUACCUUUUGUUCAACGAUGAAGGGAUCUGAGACUUGUAAUACUGUUUACUGAUUUGAUGAUAUUCCUUGUUCCUUUGAUGGUUCAUUCCACUAUACAGCUGGUUUAUAUACCCUACAAUAGCCAGGGAAUUGGUCUGUUUACUUUAAGAUCCCAAGAAAAUGUAACAUAUUUUGGAUGUGCUUUGAGGAAUCAGGAAUGCAAGUGUUUCCUCUUGUUUAUGAAGCAACUCAGUUGGUUAAGGGACAGACAAUUUGUGAGCAUGGUACAUCACUACCUGUAUUGGUAUUCCGUUUUGACAAUGUUGCUAGCUAGAAUAGAAAUAACAUCUUGCUGUGGUACAGUCUGUGGAGACUUUUACUAGGAUAUCACAGAUCGAUUGAAUAUUCAACAAUGAUCACAGACCAUGCAAAGCUUGAAUCUGACUUGCACUUUUGAAUUUAGAAGAAUCUGUGGAGGAGGGUGAAUGCUGAGACCUUUAAUAAUACAUGAUAUUGCUGACACAGUGUGUCAGUCAUCAAAGAAAGGCCAUAACACCGCACAGUUGGUCAACAAUGAUUUAAAUCCUGUCACAUUCUACCAGUGGAGAAAUAUCUUAUCACAAUAUUUUAAACUUUUGAAGAAGAUAACCAAGUAUUACCACUUUAUCAUGUCUGCAGAAACACCUGGAUUGUUAGUGUUAAAAGUGACAGUCCAAUUAACUUACCAAAAUCUACCCCCCCUUGCCAAACGAAUAUUAUUGAUCGCGGCCGAUGAGGCCGCGAUCAUAUUGAAUAGGACAAGUAUUUGCACGCUGGGGAAAAUAUUUCAUGAUGGACCUGUCAAUUCUUUACUUAUGGGUGAAACAGGUCUCAUAAGCGUAAAUACGACUAGCUUCUACUGAUUAUAAAAACAUACCGUACGAUUUGUUGUGAAUUAACUGUUGUUGUACUUUUAGUAGUUCAACCGCCACCCUUGUUUAAGAGCAACAUUUAAAAAACACGUUUUUUUCAUCCUCAAGUAAUAAGUAAGUAGACUCGCCCAGUUUAAUCAAUCUAGACGCAUAAUCUAACUAUACGAGCGUCUAUUUCACCCGAUUUACAUUCGGAACAUUUUCACGCGUUUCGGGCUUUAUCGUAUGUUUAACAUGGGAUUUUUG